rnacentral:lncRNA from 10 species
AGCCUACACCAAGGGAAGAGUCAGGGGAGAAGGAACACAAGACUCCGGAAGCAUGCCAGCGUAUAAAACCGUCAGGAGCAAUGGCUGACGCCUGUAAUCCCAGCAUUUUGGGGGCCUAAUCGGGCAGAUUGCUUGAUGCCAGGAGUUCGAGACCAGCCUGGCCAACACGGUAAAGCCGCGUCUCUACUAAAAAUACAAAAAUUAGCCAGAACUGCACAAACAAGCCAGAAACUGAACCCUACCCGGAAUCCCCUGGUGUAUGAAGGGAGCCUAGCUCUGGCUGACUCUGCUUGUGUUCACAGACACUUUGCCUCAUUGGUUCGUGCCUCAGCUUCCAAUCUGGACAUGGAGCACAAUAACAGUGGGCCCACUGCUCUCCGAAUUCCUGCGCGCACUUGAAGGGAGUGUCUGGUGCAGGCAUGCAGGGAGGAAGAAUGACUCUGAGCUUGACCAUUCAACUUCGAAACUUUAACAUCAAUGGAUCAGCACACACUGG